UGGCAGUUUGAGGCAGCCGGGAACCGGCAGCCACGCUGCAUCGUGAAGGAGGCUGUUGGCACAAGCUCGAAGGGGCAGGGCUGUGGGAGCAAUAGUGUUGUGUCACUGCCACGGCCCGAGGCAGUGCAUCCUGCGCUCUGCGAGGUCCCCGUCCCAGCUGAAGCCCAGCCAUCAUGAAGAUCCUUUACCUUCUUUUUCUUGUUCUCUACUUCUUCCAAGGCACUUCAGCCUUUCAUCUCCCCAGAGUUCUGGGCUGAGCGUCAAGACUUGUUCUGAGGGUUCCUUCUAGGGCGUCAUUCAGACUCAGGGUCAGUGGCAGAGGAGAGUCAGCACUGAGAGGCCCUUUGUGCUCCUGAAAGGAUUGGGCACCGGACGAUGCAGGAGGCUGAAUGGCGUAUGCCGACAUACCCUGUGCCACCACACCGAAACGUAUGUUGGCCGAUGCAAUCACGGGAUGGGAAACUGCUGUAUCAAUGAUGAUGAUGAUGAUCGAAAAC